rnacentral:rRNA from 1 species
UACAGAGGCCCCAAGCAUUAUCCGGAAUCACUGGGCGUAAAGGGUGUCGAGGCGGUUAUGUUAGUCGUUCGUAAAAUCCUCGAGCUUAACUUUUAGGGGGCGAACGAAACGGCAUAACUUGAGGUUGGGAGAGGUGCGUGGAACUCACGGUGUAGGGGUGAAAUCCGUUGAUAUCGUGGGGAACACCAAAGGCGAAGGCAGCGCACUGGCCCAAAUCUGACGCUCACACACGAAAGCUAGGGUAGCGAACGGG